UGCCCGUGUGGUGGAAUUGGUAGACACGCAUGACUUAGGAUCAUGUGCAUUUUGCGUGAAGGUUCGAGUCCUUUCACGGGCAU
rnacentral:tRNA from 1 species